rnacentral:rRNA from 1 species
GAUGAACGCUGGCGGCGUGCCUAAUACAUGCAAGUCGAGCGAACAGACGAGGAGCUUGCUCCUCUGACGUUAGCGGUGGACGGGUGAGUAACACGUGGAUAACCUACCUAUAAGACUGGGAUAACUUCGGGAAACCGGAGCUAAUACCGGAUAAUAUAUUGAACCGCAUGGUUCAAUAGUGAAAGACGGUUUUGCUGUCACUUAUAGAUGGAUCCGCGCCGCAUUAGCUAGUUGGUAAGGUAACGGCUUACCAAGGCGACGAUGCGUAGCCGACCUGAGAGGGUGAUCGGCCACACUGGAACUGAGACACGGUCCAGACUCCUACGGGAGGCAGCAGUAGGGAAUCUUCCGCAAAGGGCGAAAGCCUGACGGAGCAACGCCGCGUGAGUGAUGAAGGUCUUCGGAUCGUAAAACUCUGUUAUUAGGGAAGAACAAAUGUGUAAGUAACUAUGCACGUCUUGACGGUACCUAAUCAGAAAGCCACGGCUAACUACGUG